UGUCCCCAUGGAGCCCAGGUGGGGCUGGGAGUCUGCUGUUUGUACAACCAGUGGGCUCGUGUUGCUUAUGGCAUCCCUGUGCCUGAAUUCCUGCAGUACACUCGGUGUGCAUUCCAUGGUGCAUCCUCGCCUAGAAUUGAGUGGAAGCAAGUCCAUCUCAGAAGGGACAUAACUGAAGAGGGAUGGCUUUCCAGACUCUGAAGGGCAGAGAGAGCACCAGCCUGGAGAACAGCAUCACUGAGCCCGUCCUGGGUGACCUCACAGAGAUCACCCUAGUGGCCCAGGCUAAUGACCGGGAACAUGUACCUUCCUGCAGCCAACCCCAGACGUCCACGGAUGCAUCAU